rnacentral:sRNA from 1 species
CCCAGACACGGACCCUGCGUUCUUCGAGCACCUUCGGGCCCUCGACUGCUCCGAGGUGACGGUGCGAGCCCUGCCCGAGGGCUCCCUCGCCUUCCCGGGCGUGAGUAGGGGUAAGCGGGCGGCGCGGCGGCCACGGGGUGCUGGGCCGAGCGCGGAGCUGACUUCUCUCCCCGCAGGUGCCGCUCCUGCAGGUGUCCGGGCCGCUCCUGGUGGUGCAGCUGCUGGAGACACCGCUGCUCUGCCUGGUCAGCUACGCCAGCCUGGUGGCCACCAAUGCAGCGCGGCUUCGCUUGAUCGCAGGGCCAGAGAAGCGGCUGCUAGAGAUGGGCCUGAGGCGGGCUCAGGGCCCCGAUGGGGGCCUGACAGCCUCCACCUACAGCUACCUGGGCGGCUUCGACAGCAGCAGCAACGUGCUAGCGGGCCAGCUGCGAGGUGUGCCGGUGGCCGGGACCCUGGCCCACUCCUUCGUCACUUCCUUUUCAGGCAGCGAGGUGCCCCCUGACCCGAUGUUGGCGCCUGCAGCUGGUGAGGGCCCUGGGGUGGACCUGGCGGCCAAAGCCCAGGUGUGGCUGGAGCAGGUGUGUGCCCACCUGGGGCUGGGGGUGCAGGAGCCGCACCCAGGCGAGCGGGCAGCCUUUGUGGCCUAUGCCUUGGCCUUUCCCCGGGCCUUCCAGGGCCUCCUGGACUCCUACAGCGUGUGGAGGUGAGCCUGGGCACUUUCGGGGUGGGCUCAGCAGAACCUCAGCAGCCUCUGGCCCCCUUAUCCAUUCCUGCAGGAGUGGUCUCCCCAACUUCCUAGCAGUCGCCCUGGCCCUGGGAGAGCUGGGCUACCGGGCAGCGGGCGUGAGGCUGGACAGCGGUGACCUGCUACAGCAGGCUCAGGAGAUCCGCAAGGUCUUCCGAGCUGCUGCAGCCCGGUUCCAGGUGCCCUGGCUGGAGUCAGUCCUCAUCGUAGUCAGCAACAACAUUGACGAGGAGGCGCUGGCCCGACUGGCCCAGGAGGGCAGUGAGGUGAAUGUCAUUGGCAUUGGCACCAGUGUGGUCACCUGCCCCCAACAGCCUUCCCUGGGUGGCGUCUAUAAGGUAGGGACAGUGUCGGGGGCCC